GAUGAACGCUGGCGGCGUGCCUAAUACAUGCGAGUCGAGCGAACAGACGAGGAGCUUGCUCCUCUGACGUUAGCGGCGGACGGGUGAGUAACACGUGGAUAACCUACCUAUAAGACUGGGAUAACUUCGGGAAACCGGAGCUAAUACCGGAUAAUAUAUUGAACCGCAUGGUUCAAUAGUGAAAGACGGUUUUGCUGUCACUUAUAGAUGGAUCCGCGCCGCAUUAGCUAGUUGGUAAGGUAACGGCUUACCAAGGCAACGAUGCGUAGCCGACCUGAGAGGGUGAUCGGUCACACUGGAACUGAGACACGGUCCAGACUCCUACGGGAGGCAGCAGUAGGGAAUCUUCCGCAAUGGGCGAAAGCCUGACGGAGCAACGCCGCGUGAGUGAUGAAGGUCUUCGGAUCGUAAAACUCUGUUAUUAGGGAAGAACAAAUGUGUAAGUAACUAUGCACGUCUUGACGGUACCUAAUCAGAAAGCCACGGCUAACUACGUG
rnacentral:rRNA from 1 species